GAAUUUUUAUAGCGCGCUGAUCGAUAUCUUGCUAAAAUAAUCAUUUUUUUAAACUAGCGGGGCAGCGAAAUCUUUGCUUUGUUGCUAAAGUCAACAGUGACAGAGUUUGAGCUCAAAUAAAUGGCGUGAGGCUCGCAGCUCUGUGCAGAAGGCAUCGGGAGAGAGACAGCGUCCUGCCGGCUCCAGGUCUGGUCUCAAAGAAAACACAAGAGAUAAGACACGGCAACACAAUGUCCCCUCAGUAGGUCUCAUUGACCGGCCCAUGGCACCGGGCAGAUCAGAACCAAUGAGUCAUCUUCACCGUCAUGCCGCUUCAUCACACGGCAAUCUCCUGUUCAACCCUUUCUGCAUUCACCUGCAGCCGGCUGCAGUCACGUCUGACCUAGACGCAUGUGCAAGAUAACAUUCACAUCGGCAACGUCAAGAGAGGGGGCAAAGGAAGCCUGACAUUAAUGAUUAACAGCCCUAAAAGCCCCUGCUUUUGUAUUCCCAUGGUGCCGAGGCUAUCUGCCGAUCAUGUGACCUGCGCCGAGUAGAUUGGGGGGAGUGAGCGCAAAGGCAAACACAGGUGUUUGGGCUGGAGUCGGUCGGUGCUGUUAGGGACAACUGCAAACACGGGCUGCCAUGCCCGCCCAUAGCCCAGCGGAGUCACAGACUUAAGGAUGACAACUAGGCCCUUUUUGUACCCAGAAGGCCUCUUGAACGGUUUAGGGAAGUCAACUUUUUGGUGCACUUUGACCUUGUUUUAGUUGCUCACUUUGGUUUCAAUGCUGCAUUAAGAAAUAAAGCUGAAUCUCACGG